GACGAACGCUGGCGGCGUGCUUAACACAUGCAAGUCGAACGGAAAGGCCCUGCUUUUGUGGGGUGCUCGAGUGGCGAACGGGUGAGUAACACGUGAGUAACCUGCCCCUGACUUUGGGAUAACUUCAGGCAACUGGGGCUAAUACCGGAUAGGAGCUCCUGCUGCAUGGUGGGGGUUGGAAAGUUUCGGCGGUUGGGGAUGGACUCGCGGCCUAUCAGCUUGUUGGUGGGGUAGUGGCUUACCAAGGCUUUGACGGGUAGCCGGCCUGAGAGGGUGACCGGCCACAUUGGGACGGGGAUAAGGCCCAGACUACUACGGGAGGCAGCGGUGGGGAAUGGUGCACAGUGGGCGGAAGCCUGGUGCAGCAACGCCACGUGCGGGAUGACGGCCUUAGGGUUGUAAACCGCUUUCGCCUGUCAGGAGGCGUGAGUGACGGUAAUGGGUAAAGAAGCACCGGCUAACUACGUG
rnacentral:rRNA from 1 species